rnacentral:rRNA from 2 species
GCUGGCGGCGUGCCUAAUACAUGCAAGUCGAACGAGUUCUCGUUGAUGAUCGGUGCUUGCACCGAGAUUCAACAUGGAACGAGUGGCGGACGGGUGAGUAACACGUGGGUAACCUGCCCUUAAGUGGGGGAUAACAUUUGGAAACAGAUGCUAAUACCGCAUAGAUCCAAGAACCGCAUGGUUCUUGGCUGAAAGAUGGCGUAAGCUAUCGCUUUUGGAUGGACCCGCGGCGUAUUAGCUAGUUGGUGAGGUAAUGGCUCACCAAGGCGAUGAUACGUAGCCGAACUGAGAGGUUGAUCGGCCACAUUGGGACUGAGACACGGCCCAAACUCCUACGGGAGGCAGCAGUAGGGAAUCUUCCACAAUGGACGCAAGUCUGAUGGAGCAACGCCGCGUGAGUGAAGAAGGCUUUCGGGUCGUAAAACUCUGUUGUUGGAGAAGAAUGGUCGGCAGAGUAACUGUUGUCGGCGUGACGGUAUCCAACCAGAAAGCCACGGCUAACUACGUGCCAGCAGCCGCGGUAAUACGUAGGUGGCAAGCGUUAUCCGGAUUUAUUGGGCGUAAAGCGAGCGCAGGCGGUUUUUUAAGUCUGAUGUGAAAGCCCUCGGCUUAACCGAGGAAGCGCAUCGGAAACUGGGAAACUUGAGUGCAGAAGAGGACAGUGGAACUCCAUGUGUAGCGGUGAAAUGCGUAGAUAUAUGGAAGAACACCAGUGGCGAAGGCGGCUGUCUGGUCUGUAACUGACGCUGAGGCUCGAAAGCAUGGGUAGCGAACAGGAUUAGAUACCCUGGUAGUCCAUGCCGUAAACGAUGAAUGCUAGGUGUUGGAGGGUUUCCGCCCUUCAGUGCCGCAGCUAACGCAUUAAGCAUUCCGCCUGGGGAGUACGACCGCAAGGUUGAAACUCAAAGGAAUUGACGGGGGCCCGCACAAGCGGUGGAGCAUGUGGUUUAAUUCGAAGCAACGCGAAGAACCUUACCAGGUCUUGACAUCUUUUGAUCACCUGAGAGAUCAGGUUUCCCCUUCGGGGGCAAAAUGACAGGUGGUGCAUGGUUGUCGUCAGCUCGUGUCGUGAGAUGUUGGGUUAAGUCCCGCAACGAGCGCAACCCUUAUGACUAGUUGCCAGCAUUUAGUUGGGCACUCUAGUAAGACUGCCGGUGACAAACCGGAGGAAGGUGGGGAUGACGUCAAAUCAUCAUGCCCCUUAUGACCUGGGCUACACACGUGCUACAAUGGAUGGUACAACGAGUUGCGAGACCGCGAGGUCAAGCUAAUCUCUUAAAGCCAUUCUCAGUUCGGACUGUAGGCUGCAACUCGCCUACACGAAGUCGGAAUCGCUAGUAAUCGCGGAUCAGCACGCCGCGGUGAAUACGUUCCCGGGCCUUGUACACACCGCCCGUCACACCAUGAGAGUUUGUAACACCCGAAGCCGGUGGCGUAACCCUUUUAGGGAGCGAGCCGUCUAAGGUGGGACAAA